GUGAACCAAGACACCAGGACCACACGGUGUUCUGCAGCCUGGGGAAAGAUACAUCAGCGAAGAGGGGGUCACGAUCUGUUCCCACUGCUGCUGGCGGAUGAGGCUGUAUUCUUUUUUCACGUUCCUGGGCUGGGCUGGAGGAACAGCAGUUCUCACACUUGGAAUGUGGCGUUUCAUCUCAAGUUUAUUACUUUAAAUACAUCUGCCUGACUGACCAGAGAUCAAAAUGAGCAUCGCCAGUAAUGUGGGUCAGACUGAUAUUACAUGUCCUUUGAGAUGACACACUGAGAGGGACAUGGCACCACUCCUGUGAUAUUCCUGGCAAAAUGUGUAUACUAAUCAAAAGGAAAUAUCACAUAAACUCAUACCAAGGGAAAGUCUACAAAACAGCCAGGGUGAACUCUUCAAAAAGACUGAGGUCAUGAAAGAUAAAGAAAGGUUGAAGAAUCAUUCCAGAUUGCAGAAGACCAGAGAGACAUCAAAAGUAUAUGUGGCACAUUAUCCUGGAUUGAUCCAGAAACAGAAGAGAACAAUUUCCUUUACGUAUUAGAGCAACAGGUGACAUCUGAAUGGGCCCCACCCAGAUUUCCUGCAAGCCUUGGUCUCUGGAAGCACCGCUACACUCAAGACACUUCUAAAAACGAUACUGCACACAGGGAUUGCUNUCCCCCUCCUGCCCCA